CUUUGGCCAUUCGGCCCUUCGUCUGAGCACAGUCAAAGGCUCCAGCAGCUCCGCGGCCGAAGCCGCGGGACUUUUCGCGGAAAAUGGGACCCAGCCCGGACGCCAGGGGCGCUGCAGCGGACUCUGCGGUCUUUCCAGAGACGCAUAGAAGGUGCCAUCUAUGAGGAACAGGCCUUCACCAGACAUCAAAUCUGUUGGCAUCUUGAUCUUUGACUUCCCCACCUCCAGAACUAGAUCAAGACAUGAAAUCCAUGUUCAAGAUACUUUCUAGUGUGUCUUCAUGUAUCCUCUGAGUCCAGCCGCCAGGCUACCAGCAGCUCUUGGAAACCCUGACAUACUUAUUCUUAGAAGACUGCUUUCUGGACUCAAAGUAGAACCUCAAAUUUUCAAUUUUGUUUUUAAAGCCUACACAUAGGUGAUGAUCUAUACAUGCAUAUAUAUUUUGGAGAAUUUAUAAUUCUGAAAACCAUGCUGGUCUUACGGAACCCAUACAUUACCCUUUCCCCGUGUGUGCUCCAAGCUGUGGUGGCACGUGAAAAGGGGUCCUUCCAGCAGUCGCCCACAGCCCUGUGCUGCUUACUUGCUCACUUCAUUUACAAGAGCAAGGAAUACACAUUCUUGUGUUGUUUAAGUCAUUAUGAUUUGGGGAUUUCCAUUACUCACACACCUGAUCUAGUAGUAACACAGUAGCCUAUUUUAACAAUAUCAUUUAUUCAAUAAUCCAUUCUUUCCCCAUUAGUUUUGAGCCUUCAUUUAUUGUGUACUAAGUUCUGGUUAUUUUUAGUGGUUGUAAUCUCCAUCUUUCCUACUCUCUUAAUCAUGGGAUUGCUAACAUCUGCUCUGUGUUUCUGUGCCGUCUACAGCCUCUGGCCUUGGUACUGUUCUUCAGAACUGGUAUUUCUAACCUUACUUUGACUUCUCCAUUCAGUCAAUCUUCCACAGUUCAUCACUCAACUGCUCUCUUUCCAUCUUGACCUUCUGAACUGGCUCACACCCAGAUAUACGUUUGUCAUCUGCCUUUCCCCCUCAUAAACAUGGACUGCUGCUGGGGAAAAUCCACCACUGAACUCUUGCAGGUCUCUGCAAAUGUUUAAUGCCCUGUCUUAGCCAUGACCUCCACAAUGCUGGGCUAUCCUAUGUUAUGUCCCCUAAGAUAUCCCUUCUCUCUUGCCUUUAGGGAUAGUCCGAAGCUUCCAUCAUGGCACUCAAAGUCCAACCUUAUUUGUACCCUCAUUCUCUGAGCAGACACCACUGUACUCUGUUUCACAGAGAAAAUGUGAGUGCUGGGGAUGAAUUCUUUCAACUUCCUGGUCCCUUCCCAUACAUGAUCUUUCUCAGUAUUCUUGCCUAUUGCUCUUCCACGUUGAUAGAAGUGUCUGCUCUCCUUGUCAGUGUCUCAGCCUUGGAUCUGUUCCCUGUUCUAUUCUGCCUGUGUAAGGACUUUCCCUGACCAGCUGGGCCACCAUCUCCUGCUUCUCCAAUCCCUCACUCUAGACUGGCCCUUAACCUUUUGUCAACAAAUACUCAAGCUUUUACAUUCAUAAUGGAGCAUCUAUGUUGAACCUUAUUCUUUUCUAGACACUACCCUCCAUUCUGUCUUCCAUCCAUGGUGACUUUUCUAGAAAGAGCAUCUAUCACACCGGAGACAGCAAACUCCUUGAUCCAUUCUAAUUCCUAACCCUGCAAUAAUUUUCUAUGUCCCUUACUCAAGUAAUUGAGAGUGCUCCUAGUAUUACCAGAGACCCAGCAGUUCCCAAGUUCGGACCUUUCCAUAUUCACAUUUCUUGACUUGCUAUUAUUUUACAUCACAGAUUACAUCCUUCACUUGAAGAGACUUUAAUGGAAGCUUGACAUGGAAACUCUCUCAUGUGGCUGACCUCCUACCUCACUUGCUCUUUCUGAAUGAAGUUCCCACUUUUGCCUGCCUUAACAAAAGUAAUGCUCCCCAAACUCAAGUCCAGGGCUGUGAAUUGGAAGCAGCUGGGGCUACUGUUUCUGGGUGCUGGUAUGAAUGGCAGGAUGUGAACACAAGCCUGUGAUGGGUAAAAAGAUGUACACACAGGCAGAGCCCGACAGGUGCUGGUGGUCCUAUACGGUCCUGAGUUGCUGGGACCCUCCCUGCCCACUGCCCCCAGAAUGGACUUUGGCCUCAGGUUUGAAGUGUUCAGAUGUGACUGAGAUGAGCCUGUUUCCCAUGCCUCAGGAAGAGUGAAGAAACUCUAUCUGGAAGGUUCCCCAGGGUUCCCCACCCACCAGCCUCUGGUAUUAGACCAAGCAGUGGCUGGCCAGGAUGGUGGUGACAGAAGGGAGACAAAAGUGGGCAGUGGGUAGGGUCACAUCCUCCCUGACACUGAAUAGGCAACAUGGGGAGGAAGGAUGAGUGAUCUUUAGAACGUUCAUGGAAAAUGCAUACUGGGAAAAAGAAUGCAUGGAUUUCAAUUUUUUUUGCAACAAAAUAAACUUAUACUAACUUGUGAAAACAUGUCUGAACAGGAUCUAGUUUGGGGCCCUAAGAAGUAUAAGACAAUAGUUUGAAAAGAGCUCGUAUCAGACGCAUGAAUUCUGCUAAAAUUGAAACCAGAAUAUGCAAUUGAUGGUGAAGCUUGGCUGGAAAAAUGGUGAAAUCAUUGAUGAUUUUUUGAAAGUUUAUAGGGACAAUGCCCCAAAGAAAUCAGCAGUUUAAGUAAGUGGAUUACUCAUUGGAAGAAGGGAAGAGAUGAUGUUGGAGAUGAAGUCCAUAGCAGCAGACCAGCCACAUCAGUCUGUGAGGAAACAAUUCAUCUUGUUUGUACCCUAAUUUAAGAGUACUGAUUAAUAACAGCAGAAACAACAGCCAAUGCUGUAGGCAUCCCAAAGUGUUCAGCUUACACAAUUCUGACCGAAAUUAAAGUUAAGUAAACUCUCCACUCAGUGGGUGCCAAAACUGUUUCUCCCAGCUCAGCUGCAGACAAGAGAAAAGCAUUCUCCGGCAAUUUUAAACAAGUGGAAUCAAGAUCCUGAAGCAUUUCUUCAAAUAAUUAUAGCCGGAGAUGAAACAUGGCUUAACCAGUACACUCCUGAAGGCAAAGCACAAGCGAAGGAAUGACUACCGAGAGGUGGGAGUGGUCCCGUUAGAGCAAAAGCGGACAUGUCAAGGGCAAAGCUCAUGGCAACCGUUUUGUGGAUGCCCAAGGCAUCUUGCUUAUUGACUUUCUGGAGAGCCAAAGAACAGUAACAUCUUAUUAUGAGAGUGUAUAGAGAAAGUCAAUGAUUUAGCAGCAAAACACCCAGGAAAUCAUCACUCUGGAGAGCUUCACCAGAGAGCCCUUCUCCAUCAUGACAAUGCUCCUGCUCAUUCCUCUCAUCAAACAAGGCCAGUUUUGUGAGAGUUUCAAUGGGAAAUCACUAGGCAUAUACCUUCCAGGCCUGAUUUGGUUACUUCUGUUUUAAAACUUUAAAAAAUCUUUAAAGUCCACCCACUUUUCUUCAGUUAAUAACGUAACAAAGACUGAAGUGGCAUGGUUAAAUUCCCAGGGCGCCUAGUUCUUUAGGGAUGAACUGAAUGGCUGCUACCAUCACUUACAAAAGCAUCUCAACCUUGAUGGAGCGCAUGCUGAGAAAUAAAACCUAUUUUUUAAUUGUUAUCUUUUAGUUCAAUUUUUCUGUGAACUUUUGAAGUCCCCUUGUGUUUGUUUCAGGUGGAACUCUGAGUCUGAUUUCUCAGCUCUCCGUGGAUGGCUGCAUCUUGAUAGAGAAAUGAAGGCCAUUUACCCCGAUGCUCUCUACUGGGCCCAAGUUUCAGAUGUUGAACACACACGUGUGGGAAUUUAUGAAUCCGUGCAUCUGUGCCAGCUGGUGGGUGAAGUCUAAGUUUCUUCAACAGAAUUAGUUAUCUUCUGCCUCCUGGAAUCUGGUAGGAAAGGUUGAGGAAAAGCAGCCAUCCAUAGUGCCAUCCCCACUGGAAUGGGGGCAGCCCUAACGUGUGCCCCACUGUCCCCCAUGCUGAGGAGUCCUUCACUCCAGGGAUGUCUUCACCCCAAUCAUUCAGACUCCCCCAGUGCUUCUGCGUCACCUGAAAGGUCAGAAGCAUCUGGGCACAUACUCUCUCAUGAGUGGUGCUUUGGCCUCCCUCCCCAUCAAUACUGAAGCCCUCAGAGGCAGAGGGGAGUCAAGGAAAAGAGUGGCUGUCAGCAAUAAAUGAGUUACAACGUUUGAUUUCAAACAGAAAACCUUGUCACCAAAAUCACUACUCAGGAGAUCUGGACUUCCUCUCAAUGUGAGCUGAAGAACCCUUGAGGGUUAAAAGCCAACUUCACCUGAUCCCCACUCUCCCAUCCCAAGACCCUGGGAAGUCAAACCAAGAGGUAAUCAACAGAAAACAAGUUUAAUGCAACAGGUGACAAUAGUCUGGAGCGAGUCCAUGCUUCAAAAGGCUCAGUCCAUGGCAGUCCUGUGGCUCAACGCAGGCUAAAGCUGGCUGCAAUGGAGACCAGCAGCAGGAGGACGGCCAGCCCCAGCCCACCACAGCUCUCACCCACACUCCCAGCAUAUUCUUUGAAUGAUGAUGUGUUGAUAUCCGGCCCCUGUAAAUUGCAGUAGCGAGUUCUACAACACUUGAGGUAAAAGAAAGGCAGGGGCUCUUCCAGGAGAAACCGCUUCUCCGCUGGCUUGGGUAUCUCAAUCGCUGCACAACUAGUGGAGCACUGCUUCGAAAUUAUGAAAAAACGUGGAAAUAUUUCUAAUAGGAAAUAAAGACCGAGAGAAGGCAAUCACGCAAUUCCAACGCCUGACACCAAGGCCUUUCUGUCUGGGUCAAAGCCUUACCCCUGGUGGCCCUGUUCAAAGGUGCACACUCAAUUGGGGCACCAAGUGGGGGUCGGGAGGACGAGGGCCAGGCCUGUGUGUUGAAUGCUGCUUUGGGGGAGGGCUGGCUUCUGCGUGGUAUGGCAUGUCCACAUGCACUGGGAAUGCGGGUCUAGGGGUCGCUGUUUGGGAACACACAGGUCUCAACUUCUCAAACACAGGGUUGGCUCAGGCCUUUGUGACCACAGACAGACACAUGACUCCCAGCCAUUCUGGCCAUCACCCAGGGCAUGGAGCCGGCCUCUCGGUGGGCCUGGCUCGGCUCUGAGCUGGGGGUCUUGUCUCGUGACCACACUUCAUCUUAUACUUCACUGUACAAAUCAUUUUGCCAUAUUAAGUUAAAAAGUCAAUGUUGGUUACACUGAGCCUGAAGCAUCACCUCGGCGCCCCACCAACUUCGUGGAUACGGAAGGGCUGGAGAGCAACUGCUGGCUGGAAUCAGAAUUCACCCGCCCGGAAGACUGCCCUGUGGGCAGAAUGUGCUGGGUGUCCAGAUUCCCCUCGGGGAGGGCUUCACGUACCCAAAGCUUUUCAGGGGAAUCACAGAUGACAGAGCAGCAGUCUCCAGUUUUUAAGGCAUGCACCCUUCUUCGAGAACACACUUGAAGGCUGUACACCUUGGUUUUGUGCAUCUCUUGUAAGAGUGACACAGACACUGUUCUCAGUGGCGCAUUCAACAUUAUUAAAGCUUAAUUUUUCAUUUAAAAAUGGA